UACGUAGGGGGCAAGCGUUGUCCGGAAUCAUUGGGCGUAAAGCGCGUGUAGGCGGUUCGGUAAGUCUGCUGUGAAAGUCCAGGGCUCAACCCUGGGAUGCCGGUGGAUACUGUCGGACUAGAGUACGGAAGAGGCGAGUGGAAUUCUCGGUGUAGCGGUGAAAUGCGUAGAUAUCGAGAGGAACACCUGCGGCGAAGGCGGGUUGCUGGGCUGAUACUGACGCUGAGGCGCGAAAGCCAGGGGAGCGAACGGG
rnacentral:rRNA from 1 species